rnacentral:rRNA from 1 species
CCUACGGGGUGCUGCAGUGAGGAAUAUUGGUCAAUGGGCGCGAGCCUGAACCAGCCAAGUAGCGUGAAGGAUGACUGCCCUACGGGUUGUAAACUUCUUUUAUAAAGGAAUAAAGUGAGUCACGUGUGCCUUUUUGUAUGUACUUUAUGAAUAAGGAUCGGCUAACGCCGUGCCAGCAGCCGCGGUAAUACGGAGGAUCCGAGCGUUAUCCGGAUUUAUUGGGUUUAAAGGGAGCGUAGAUGGGUUGUUAAGUCAGUUGUGAAAGUUUGCGGCUCAACCGGAAAAUUGCAAUUGAUACUGGCAGACUUGAGGACAGGUGAGGUAGGCGGAAUUCGUGGUGUAGCGGUGAAAUGCGUAGAUAUCACGAAGAACUCCGAUUGCGAAGGCAGCUUACUAAACUGCCACUGACAUUGAUGCGCGAAAGUGUGGGUAUCAAACAGGAUUAGAUACCCGGGUAGUC